GUAAGAUCGUUUGUUAAACAAAGGUAAAUAUUUGUCGACAUGUAAACCUACCUUUACUUGAUAAAACUAUAGUUCUCUGGUUUUGAGAAUCUGUGUCUUGCGAUAAUUAUUGACAUAACCUCUAACUAACCAUCUCUAAACUUAGAGCCUUUUAAAAGGAAAGCAAAAUGUCUAAUGGGCACAUUCUGGAAAUGUGCGAGAAUCGGAGAAAGGAAAUCACCAUGGGUAGCAGGAGCCUGUCUAAUUAUGGCCUUUUCUAUUUUAUUUCUAAGUUAGAAUAAAGUACCUCUUCAGAUA